AUUGAACGCUGGCGGCAGGCCUAACAUAUGCAAGUCGAACGGUAGCACAGAGAGCUUGCUCUCGGGUGACGAGUGGCGGACGGGUGAGUAACGUCUGGGAAACUGCCCGAUGGAGGGGGAUAACUACUGGAAACGGUAGCUAAUACCGCAUAACGUCGCAAGACCAAAGUGGGGGACCUUCGGGCCUCACACCAUCGGAUGUGCCCAGAUGGGAUUAGCUAGUAGGUGGGGUAAUGGCUCACCUAGGCGACGAUCCCUAGCUGGUCUGAGAGGAUGACCAGCCACACUGGAACUGCGACACGGUCCAGACUCCUACGGGAGGCAGCAGUGGGGAAUAUUGCACAAUGGGCGCAAGCCUGAUGCAGCCAUGCCGCGUGUAUGAAGAAGGCCUUCGGGUUGUAAAGUACUUUCAGCGGGGAGGAAGGCGGUGAAGUUAAUAACUUCACCGAUUGACGUUACCCGCAGAAGAAGCACCGGCUAUCUCCGUGCCAGCCGCCGCGGUAA
rnacentral:rRNA from 1 species